UGAUUAUACUCAAUAUGCUUCACAAUCACCUUUUCAUCUGUGGUUUCCACUGUAAUCUGUUCAUGGCUAUAGAAUGAUAAUAUUGAGCUAUAUAAUAUAGAUGCAAAAUACUGAAGAAUAAUGUGAAGGCCCUUUCUAAAGAUUUAACCUUUAAAAUCUUCAUCUGGAGUUAAGAGUUUCUACCUUCCUGGCAUAGUGAUAAAUCCUCUCACUUUCACUGCAUCAGGGAAGAGAACAGAAUCACACUUUUUAAUGAAAAGCUUGGGAAUUGGCCCAAGAUCAAACCGGUGGCUUACACGCCGUUUUCUCACUCUGUUUCAUUUGCAGCGUUUUAGUAGAAGGUAAAAAGGCAGGGCAAAAACACCUGAAACGCCGUGUUUUUGUGGGGGUAGACAGAUAAGCUGCCACGCAGAGAAAUCUCUGUUUUUAGGGCCUGCGUGGAACCUUAAAAAGCCACCAAGUCCUAGAGGGUUAACGGACAGGAAACUGCGGUUGCAGCCGCUCCUAAGGAAGUCAGUUUUUGUGUAACAGCCUGGAGCAGGCCGAGAGGUGGGGGCCGGAGGGUCUCGGUGUCUGGGCUGACAUCGAUAUUUUUGGUUUUGGCUCCGCAGCGUUUUAAACACGGGGAAGGGCACGCGCCGAGUGGCAGCAGCUCCUCCGUGACAAAGCGAUUUCUAUUCCACAGCAGCUUUUCUGGGGGGGGGAAACGAGACGUGAAUUUUUCCUGUCUGAGGCUCGUUUUCCCCCACCAAGGCUCAGCUUAUCUAGAGAAAUCACAGUGUAGGUACGCGGUCGCAGCGGCACAUGUCAAUAUAUUUAAAUUCUGGAACAGGAGAACUCUUCUCUGAAUUCCGAGCCCAUUAAUUUCAGUCCCCGCUGAGCAUGUUCACUUUCGGCUUGGCUGAAGAGGAAAUAAAGGCAGAGCAGGAGGUGGUGGAGGGGAUGGACAUCUCCACUCGAUCCAAAGAUCCUGGCUCUGCUGAACGCACAGCACAAAAAAGGAAAUUUCCCAGCCCUCCACAUUCCUCUAAUGGCCACUCACCACAAGAUGCAUCAACAAGUCCUAUAAAAAAGAAAAAGAAACCUGGUCUAUUGAACAGUAAUAAUAAAGAGCAGUCAGAACUAAGACAUGGUCCGUUUUACUAUAUGAAGCAGCCACUCACCACAGACCCUGUUGAUGUUGUACCGCAGGAUGGACGGAAUGAUUUCUAUUGCUGGGUUUGUCAUCGGGAAGGCCAAGUCCUCUGCUGCGAGCUCUGCCCGCGGGUUUAUCAUGCUAAGUGUCUGAAACUGACAGCCGAGCCAGAGGGGGAUUGGUUUUGCCCCGAGUGUGAGAAAAUCACAGUGGCAGAAUGCAUAGAAACACAGAGUAAAGCAAUGACAAUGCUCACCAUCGAACAGCUAUCAUAUCUACUGAAGUUUGCACUACAGAAAAUGAAACAGCCAGGGACAGAGCCAUUUCAAAAGCCAGUUUCACUGGAUCAACACCCAGAUUAUGCAGAAUAUAUCUUUCAUCCAAUGGACCUUUGUACAUUAGAGAAGAAUGUUAAAAAGAAAAUGUACGGUUGCACUGAAGCAUUUUUGGCUGAUGCCAAAUGGAUUUUGCACAACUGCAUUAUUUACAAUGGGGGAAAUCACAAAUUGACACAGACAGCAAAAGUCAUCAUCAAAAUCUGUGAGCAUGAGAUGAAUGAAAUCGAAGUUUGUCCGGAAUGUUAUUUAGCUGCUUGCCAAAAACGAGAAAAUUGGUUUUGUGAGCCUUGUAGCAAUCCCCACCCUUUGGUCUGGGCUAAACUCAAAGGCUUUCCAUUCUGGCCUGCUAAAGCACUGAGGGAUAAAGACGGGCAAGUCGAUGCCCGUUUCUUUGGCCAACAUGACAGGGCCUGGGUUCCAAUAAAUAAUUGCUACCUCAUGUCUAAAGAAAUUCCUUUUUCUGUGAAAAAGACUAAAAGCAUCUUCAAUAGUGCAAUGCAAGAAAUGGAGGUUUAUGUUGAUAACAUUCGUAGAAAAUUUGGAGUAUUUAACUACGCACCUUUCCGGACACCAUAUACUCCCAACAAUCAAUACCAAAUGUUGUUAGACCCUGCAAACCCAACUGCUGGAACUGCAAAGACAGACAAACAAGAGAAAAUCAAACUGAACUUUGAUAUGACAGCAUCACCCAAGAUUCUGAUGAGCAAGUCUAUGCUGAGCAGCAGCACAGGCCGUCGGAUUUCAUUGACAGAUAUGCCACGGUCACCAAUGAGUACAAACUCAUCAGUUCACACUGGCUCUGAUGUUGAACAGGAUGCAGAGAAAAAAGCAACUUCCAGUCAUUUUAGUGCCAGUGAAGAAUCCAUGGACUUUAUUGAGAAAAAUACAGCUUCUCCAGCACCAACGAGAACAGGGCAAGCAGGGAGCUUGUCAGGCAGCCCCAAACCUUUCUCUCCUCAAGCAUCAACACCAAUUUCUUCUAAGCAAGAACGAACCUCCACUCCAGGAAGCAUUCUGAAUCUUAAUCUUGACCGUAGCAAAGCUGAGAUGGAUCUGAAAGAACUGAGUGAGUCAGUCCAGCAGCAGAGCACUCCUGUGCAGCUCAUCUCCCCCAAACGACAGAUCCGGAGCAGGUUCCAGCUGAACCUGGACAAGACAAUAGAGAGCUGCAAAGCACAACUUGGAAUAAAUGAAAUAUCUGAAGCUGUUUAUACUGCAGUAGAACACAGUGACUCUGAAGAUUCUGAAAAAUCCGACACCAGUGACAGCGAAUACAGUGAUGAGGAUCAGAAAUCAAAGAAUGAUCAAGAAGAUGGUGAGGACAAGGAAGGUACAAGAAGUGACAAAGAAUCAUUGAGCUUGAAAAAAAAACCUAAGCCCCCAGCACAGAAUGAAGACAAGGAGGAACUUAAAAGCACAAGUCCAGAAGUGGAGAAAACAGAAGAACCGGUCAAGGAAAAGUCCAUUUCAGACACUGAAAAAGAAUUUUCCGAAAAGGGAAAAGGUUUACAGCAUCCUGCAAAAGAAAAGCUGAAAGGUAAAGAUGAAACAGACUCUCCAACUGUGCAUCUAGGACUGGACUCUGAUUCUGAGAGUGAACUUGUCAUCGAUCUAGGAGAUGAUCAUUGUGCUCGUGAAGGAAGGAAAAACAAGAAAGAAUCUAAAGAACCUUCUCCCAAACAAGAUGUUGUAGGUAAAACUCCACCCUCCUCCAGUGCAAGCACUCAGCCUCUACCAGAAACUCCAGUCCUCACCCGUUCUGCAGCCCAGACCCCCCCAGCUGGUGUGACAGCAACCACGAGUGCUGCUUCCACUGCCAGUGCUCCAUCUGCAGCCACAGGGAGCCCUGUGAAAAAGCAGAGGCCUUUGCUGCCCAAGGAAACUGCCCCUGCUGUGCAGCGGGUGGUGUGGAAUUCUUCCAAUAAAUUCCAGACAUCUUCUCAGAAAUGGCACAUGCAGAAGGUACAGAGGCAGCAGCAACAGCAGCAGAGCCAGCAGGCUCAGUCACAACAGCCUCAGUCCUCUCAAGGGACAAGAUACCAGACAAGACAAGCAGUUAAAGCUGUGCAGCAAAAAGAGAUCACCCAGAGCACUUCCACGUCCACUAUAACCUUAGUCACAAGCACUCAGCCUAUUUCUAUGGUUACCAGUUCUGGAUCUGCAAGUACACUUUCUUCCUCACUAAACACAGACCUGCCCAUUGCAACAGCUUCAGCUGAUGUGGCUGCAGAUAUUGCUAAAUAUACCAGCAAAAUGAUGGAUGCCAUCAAAGGAACAAUGACUGAAAUAUAUAAUGAUCUUUCAAAAAAUACUACUGGAAGUACAAUAGCUGAGAUUCGGCGUUUGAGGAUUGAGAUAGAAAAACUUCAAUGGCUACAUCAACAGGAACUCUCAGAAAUGAAGCAUAACCUAGAACUGACAAUGGCUGAAAUGCGUCAGAGCCUGGAGCAGGAACGAGAUCGUUUGAUUGCUGAGGUGAAGAAGCAGCUGGAACUGGAAAAGCAACAAGCAGUGGAUGAAACCAAGAAGAAGCAGUGGUGUGCCAACUGCAAGAAAGAGGCCAUCUUCUACUGCUGUUGGAAUACCAGCUACUGUGACUACCCCUGCCAACAGGCUCACUGGCCUGAGCACAUGAAAUCGUGCACGCAGUCAGCUACUGCGACACAGCAAGAAACAGAUACUGAAAUUAGCACAGAAACACUAAAUAAAUCAUCCCAGCCCAGUUCAAGUGUGCAGUCUACACCCACAGAAACAGCCAGCACCCCUAAGGAAAAGGAAGGUUCAGCUGAUAAAAGCAAAGAGAGCGUUACAGACCCAUCAGUGUAGCUUCUGGUCUGGAUCUUUCGAUACAAGUUGCCUUCUGAUAAGCAAUACUGACUGCAGCACUUCCAAGCCCUUCUUGCCUGGGGGUUCAGAGGCCAAGCUCAAGACCUGCAUUCAAAUCAACUUACUUUAUCACCACAGACUGUCAUUAGGGUACCACAAUGUUCCAUGACACUGAUACAACAGUUCACCUGGAUCUACGGUUAACGGAGCAGUUCCGAAAUCCUCCAUAGCAUCUACUCUGAUAGUAUUCAGUAGGCAAGGAUGAGCAAAUGCUCUAAUAAAAGGGACUUAACAUUGCAUAUAUAGAAAAUGUUUAUAGAGAAGAUUCUGCUUUAUAGGUAGGGCUUGAACUAUUAGCAAUUUCGGCAUCAUUUUUUUUUUUCUCCCCUUGCAAGAUUUAUUAAAUGAAAAAUUUUAGUGGGGAGGGGGGGCUGAUCCUUCAAACCCUUACACAUGAUCCUGCACAUCAGUAGGAGCCUUGUUGUAUUUUAAAAUAUUAAAGGCAAACUAAUUUUGUAGUAUUGUGAUUCCAGCAUGAUGUCUCAUUGAGAUAGUCCUGUAGAAUUGGGAAGCAUAGUAAUCUAGAGAGCUGUGUUCAUUUCUUGACACUUUUGCUACUGUCUGGUGUUAGAUCUCUGGGCUUGACAUGUCACCUAAGGGAGUAACUUGGGGAAACAGAUUUGAAGAGGGGGAAAAAGGAUGUGCUGUUCCACUUGAAUACUUUGAUGAAGUUGGUUAAACUCUGGCUCAUUCAGUUGAUGUUUGUUUGCAUUGUUCUGGUGGCACAAGCUUUAUAUUACCGGGGAAAUAGGGAAUGUGAGACCUAAAGCUUGCCAGGGAAUAUUCCAGUUAUACAAAUCUGGAAUUUCACAUAGGUGUUCUGCCUGAAACAUCAUGCUGUAUACAUGGAUCAUGUUCACAAUUUGAAUUUUGUUUUAUUAACAAAGAAGUAACCUGUGAAUUCAUUGAGAUGCAGAUUUUUAACACAAAGAAAACAUCCAACAUAAAUUUCCUAUCGUAGUAACAACAACUAGGUGGAAUUUAUGUAAAAGCUGAGGCUUCUACUGAGGUUGCCCGUGCUGUCUCUGCAGAUAGCAACAGGUGUGACAAGCAACCAGCCUAUAAAACUGGUCCAGGUACCACAGACCACCACCUAUAUUCCAGCUACUCAACCCACAAUUACCAUUCCUGUAGUGGUAAGUCCUUCUGCUGGGACAGUGGCAAUGAGAACUGGAGUUCAGUAUGUUCAGACCACAAUGCCAGUCCAAGUACGAAGAGUCUAACUGCUAACAAGAAGUCCAAACAAUUGUUGGAAUAAAUAAGUCUAAUAGAAAUGUGAAAAAUAAACACAGUUCUUUGGAUUAACCUCAAAGGUUCAGACUUUAGCUUUGUGUAUGUGUACAAAGCAUUAAUUACACUACAUUAAUGUAAAGCAUUAGUGCUGGCUUAGAAAAGCUGAGGACAGGUAAGAUCCAUAUUAAAUCUAUGCUUCUUUUGUAAAUAAUGUACAAUUUGUGGAUGUCAUUAGAGUACCAUCUCCUUUUUAUAUUUGUAUUGACUUUAACUUAUAAAGAGUGUCUGAAGUUGGAAAGGGAAGGUUUAAAACAGCCUUAUCACAACCUAAUGCUGAAAACUGGUCUUGGGAAACUGCAGUUAUGCAUCAAAUAAUACUAAGAAUCUGAACAUCUGUCUUUGCAUUUGGAUUGAAAAAAAUUUCUGCACUUUGAAACUCUUGUAGAGUUUCUUUGAACAACCAAGUGAUGAAGGAUGAUACCUUUUUUCAGUUGACUGCAUCAGGCAAAUUAUGACAUUUCCAAUCUGUGGAUCUGAAACACAAAGAUUUACGUUGUUUUUUUCAUAAUGACCAGACUAACAAAAAUUUCAUUUAGUCUAAGAUCAGAAAAGUUGGAAAGCGUAAUAGCAGCUGGUUGUAGAACGGUUUCUGAUCACUGAUAUCGAAGACUGAGGAAAGUAAAAUUUGUUCCUGUGCUUCUUUUUUUUUAAAAAAAUUCUCCCAAAGGACUUUGAACAAGAAUUAGGUGUGGAGAAAAACACGGAUCAGGAAACACGGGCAAAGGACUUUUGAUGCUGGGCCAGAGCAUGUGUUAUUUAUAUGAUGGAAUUUCUGUUUUUCUGUAAGCAUGAAGCAGUGCAGUACGAGAGGAGCUCCCCCUGCAGAUGCUGUCUGUUACACUGAGACUGUAGUCCCAUUUUGUAUGUUGUGUAAAACGAAAGCAUUGAACAAAGCAAAGGUGAUGUAUGUAUAUGAGAAAAUUAACUGUAUGAUAUCAUUCCAGUACAUUCUGUUGUACAUUUUAGUCAUGUUGAUUUCUCCCAUUGUUUAUAUAAGAAUGCGGUUUGUACAGUCUCCAGCUAGUCCCCAGAUUAGAGGGAAAAAAGUAUUAGAAGGAAAAAAAAAAAAAGGCAAGAACAGAAUAUUCAUUAAUUGCAGUUGUGUCAAAACUAGCCUAGCUGGCCUUAUUUGUGAAGCAUAAUUGCUUUUAGCAUAUGGAAGUAUUUUUUCACAUUUUCUUUGUAUAAAAUUUGUAUUAAACUUAAAUAUCUUU